GGGCCCGUAGCGUAGCUAGGAAAGCGCGACGGCCUGCGGAGCCGUAGGUCCCGGGUUCAAGUCCCGGCGGGCCCG
rnacentral:tRNA from 1 species